rnacentral:tRNA from 1 species
GCCCCCGUAGCUCAGUGGCUAGAGCACCUGACUUGUAAUCAGGAGGUCCCGAGUUCAAAAUAAGGAUGGAAAUCUCGGUGGGGGCU